UAUGUAUAUACACUUGGCAAAUAUUUUAAGAGUAUUUUUCGAAAUUGAGGUUAAGAAAACAAAUAGUUUUAAGAGUAUUUUAUUAUAUGUUGAUGGAAAUGGAAGAUGGAAAGUGAUUAAUCAGUCAAACAGUGUAGACCUAAAAUAUAGCAUAUACUACUGGCUUGGUUGUUGAAUUAUUAUUACUAUUUGCUUCCCCCACAGGCUGCAAAAUGCUAUGUUAGUUCCACAUCAUAAUGAAAAGUAGAAAGUUCCAUAGAUCUCAGAAAAUUAAGGAGAAAAGGGUGCAUCAUCCACCAUAAUUGGUUCUAUACUCUUCUAUCUUCAUCAAUUAGUCUUUCUUCUUUGCUUUCUUUGGAAGAUUAUUCAAAGAAGGUGCAUGUAUGAAAGAUAGAUCCCUCUCUCUCUAUAUAUAUGGAUUGGAGGUGGUGAUGGUGAAGUGCUAUGAAUAUUUGUUGUAUGAAGCUAACAAAACUGAGGUAUUGGCGCGCCUCAAUUUGAAUACAUGGUUACUAGGUAAUCCGUAACCAUGUAAUUUGAUUGAGCCGCGUCAAUAUCUUAUUUUUGCACUUCUUUAUUACCAUCUCCACAUACACACCCCCAAUAUCAUCAAAGUUAUGAAUCUGUAGGAAAAGGGAAAAAUAAAAUCAAAGUUUCCAGCAUAGUGUGGAUUGUAGCUAGCUGCAGAUGAAGCAUCACCAUGAAAGGGCAACAUACAUGGGGUAUAUAAGGGAGGGGACAUGGUAGAGUUAAUGAAGGAGGAAUCCUUCAUUUUCUUGAGAUGCUGGCUAUUAAUUCCUUCAAAGUUGAAGGUGCAAACUCAAAAUGUGGGGCCUCUUUACUCUUUGCCUUUAUGUAAUUUUUGCUUUGCAUUCAUUUCUAUUCCAUCAGUUUCAUGCAUGUAGCCAAGUAGCACCAAACUAAGCCAUGAUUAGGCCCUAUCAUCUUUUUCUCCAUUGUGUAUGUAUAUGUAUAGCAACCUGUGUGUAUUAGUGGUAAAUAAUUUAGAUCUGAAUAUUACAUUUGAUGGUCAAAAUAAUACUGUGAUUUUAGGUCAUUAUUUUGAUAUUGUUUAGUAAAAAU